AGUUUGAUCCUGGCUCAGGAUGAACGCUAGCUACAGGCUUAACACAUGCAAGUCGAGGGGAAACGACAUAGUUAGCUUGCUAACUUUGGGCGUCGACCGGCGCACGGGUGAGUAACGCGUAUCCAACCUGCCCACCACUUGGGAAUAACCUUGCGAAAGUAAGACUAAUGCCCAAUGACGUUGAAAGAAGACAUCUGAUUUCAACUAAAGAUUCAUCGGUGAUGGAUGGGGAUGCGUCCGAUUAGCUUGUUGGCGGGGUAACGGCCCACCAAGGCGACGAUCGGUAGGGGUUCUGAGAGGAAGGUCCCCCACAUUGGAACUGAGACACGGUCCAAACUCCUACGGGAGGCAGCAGUGAGGAAUAUUGGUCAAUGGGCGAGAGCCUGAACCAGCCAAGUAGCGUGCAGGAUGACGGCCCUAUGGGUUGUAAACUGCUUUUAUAAGGGAAUAAAGUGGGGCUCGUGAGCUCCUUUGCAUGUACCUUAUGAAUAAGGACCGGCUAAUUCCGUGCCAGCAGCCGCGGUAAUACGGAAGGUCCGGGCGUUAUCCGGAUUUAUUGGGUUUAAAGGGAGCGUAGGCCGCAGGUUAAGCGUGUUGUGAAAUGUAGGGGCUCAACCUCUGCACUGCAGCGCGAACUGGCUUGCUUGAGUACGCACAACGUGGGCGGAAUUCGUGGUGUAGCGGUGAAAUGCUUAGAUAUCACGAAGAACUCCGAUUGCGAAGGCAGCUCACGGGAGCGCAACUGACGCUGAAGCUCGAAAGUGCGGGUAUCGAACAGGAUUAGAUACCCUGGUAGUCCGCACGGUAAACGAUGGAUGCCCGCUGUUGGUCUGAAUAGGUCAGCGGCCAAGCGAAAGCAUUAAGCAUCCCACCUGGGGAGUUCGCCGGCAACGGUGAAACUCAAAGGAAUUG
rnacentral:rRNA from 1 species